rnacentral:rRNA from 1 species
AUACGUAGGUGGCAAGCGUUGUCCGGAAUUAUUGGGCGUAAAGCGCGCGCAGGUGGUUCCUUAAGUCUGAUGUGAAAGCCCCCGGCUCAACCGGGGAGGGUCAUUGGAAACUGGGGAACUUGAGUGCAGAAGAGGAUAGUGGAAUUCCAAGUGUAGCGGUGAAAUGCGUAGAGAUUUGGAGGAACACCAGUGGCGAAGGCGACGGUCUGGUCUGUAACUGACGCUGAGGCGCGAAAGCGUGGGGAGCAAACAGGAUUAGAUACCCUGGUAGUCCACGCCGUAAACGAUGAGUGCUAAGUGUUGGGGGGUUUCCGCCCCUCAGUGCUGCAGCUAACGCAUUAAGCACUCCGCCUGGGGAGUACGGUCGCAAGACUGAAACUCAAAUGAAUUGACGGGG